rnacentral:rRNA from 1 species
UACGUAGGUGGCAAGCGUUGUCCGGAAUUAUUGGGCGUAAAGCGCGCGCAGGCGGUCCUUUAAGUCUGAUGUGAAAGCCCUGGGCUCAACCUGGGAAUGGCAUUGGAUACUGGCGGACUGGAGUGCGGUAGAGGAUGGCGGAAUUCCCGGUGUAGCAGUGAAAUGCGUAGAGAUCGGGAGGAACAUCUGUGGCGAAGGCGGCCAUCUGGACCAGCACUGACACUGAGGCACGAAAGCGUGGGGAGCAAACAGG